ACUUGCAGAACCCUCCACGACUCGCGAUAAACGGCAGCGCAGCACUGUGUCGAGUGUCGAGUGUCGAGUCCAGCGUAGCACAAGCCCACCAUUGGGCCAUUUCAAACUGGCACAUCAAUUUUGGUUUUCCUAUCCGCCACCUGGCGCUGGCGGCGGCUCCUCAACUCAGCUACAAAUUCUAGCAAGAUCGUAUAUGUAAAACUUGCCACACACACACACACGCACACACAUAAACAUUCAUAUACACACACACACACACAGACACACUGAAACACAUGUUAGCAUAGCUGCAAGUGUAUUUGUAUAUUCAGUGUUUCCUCGACUCGAAAGCAAAACAAAACAGAACGCUAAACAAACAACAACAGCAAUAAA
rnacentral:misc_RNA from 1 species